AUUGAACGCUGGCGGAAUGCUUUACACAUGCAAGUCGAACGGCAGCACGGACUUCGGUCUGGUGGCGAGUGGCGAACGGGUGAGUAAUGUAUCGGAACGUGCCCAGUCGUGGGGGAUAACGUAGUGAAAAUUACGCUAAUACCGCAUACGAUCUAUGGAUGAAAGCGGGGGAUCGCAAGACCUCGCGCGAUUGGAGCGGCCGAUAUCAGAUUAGGUAGUUGGUGGGGUAAAGGCCCACCAAGCCAACGAUCUGUAGCUGGUCUGAGAGGACGACCAGCCACACUGGAACUGAGACACGGUCCAGACUCCUGCGGGAGGCAGCAGUGGGGAAUUUUGGACAAUGGGCGAAAGCCUGAUCCAGCCAUUCCGCGUGCAGUAUGAAGGCCCUCGGGUUGUAAACUGCUUUUGUACAGAACGAAAAGGUUUCUACUAAUACUAGGAGCUCACGACGGUACUGUAAGAAUAAGCACCGGCUAACUACGUGCCAGCAGCCGCGGUAA
rnacentral:rRNA from 1 species